GACUCCGCAGAGCGCAGUUGUUCAGCGUGUUGCAGCAACCAAUAACCGUGGACACGUGGUUAUUUUUAGCUCGGGUGGCCUCCCACGGGAAUUCGGACACCCGUUAAAGGCCAGGUAGUCAAGGAUUACCUUUUUACUGUGCUAUUUGGGUGAAGGGUUGGACCCGGCCGUAACCACAACGUGACUGACCUGUGAGCUUUAAGUAAAGCGGAAAAGCGCAAGUGUAAUACUUAGACGCCGGACGUGAAGCUCCCUGUCGGGCUGCGGGGAACGGUUAUAAAUUAAUUAGGGCUUAGAAAUUUGACCGCUGUCGGCAACGGUGUUCCCGAAGCGAGUGGAUUGACCAGCAAGGUUGGACCUGGGCUUAGAGGCUUUUAAAUUAGUCAAAAAGUUAGGUGUAAUGCUACAGAGGUUUUGAAGAAGAAUAAGGAUAAGAAGUGACAAGAAUAAAAUAAGAAGUGUGUUAGUGGAAAAUGAUUCUAUGUUUCUUUACCUUCUUUUAAAUGUACAAAGAUGCCUUUUCUCUGCCCUUUGUCUAUGGUUAGAUUAGUUUAGAAUUAUCCUUUUAGACUUUCCCAGCGAAGACAUAUUGUUUUGGGACAUAUUGUUUUAGAUUGUUUUAUCUCUCACAGCUUUCUCCCAGCUCUCUGCUGACGAGACUAGCGCCACAUAUGGAGUUGUUUAUUUUAUCUGUUUAUUAUUUUCUUAUCCUGUUCUCACUGUCUUUCCUAUAAAAAGUGCCAAGCCUCUGUUCACGACGUGAGUUGUUCUCAGCAGCUCACCCGUGUUCACGUUAAAGCAUAAAAAGUAACUUUGUCUCAUUGUGUCUUUAUUUCUCCUGGGUUUUUUACAGAGUUUUCCCCCAACAUUUCUUGGUCCUUCGGAGCCGGAGCGCCUCCAUCGUGUCCCAUCUCCGUGACCAGUCCACGUUGUUCGCCUGUCGACAGCUCACACACCAGGUGUGUGGAAAAAGACCAAGAGCGUUAAAUUCGGGUCUUGGCCAACGUCUUAGAAAGCGACCCACGGUGGUGGGGCCCGAUCGAGGUGGACCAGACCCGGCGACACUGACCAGAGCAGAAGCUGCUGUAACACACCCAAAGAAAGACUCUAGGUCUGACCAACCGUCUCAGUCGUGGGCAAAAAGAUGACAGUCAAUAAAAUUCUAAAAGAUAAUUUAUUGACGAAAAAUAUAUCAAGAGAUAAAAGAUAAAACAGUCCAGUGUCCCACUUAUGAAUUGUAUAAAAACACACAGUCCCAAGGCCAGAGCCAGCUAUGCCACACGGCCAAGUUACACUCCACAUGUUGCCUUUAACAGGGUUAGAAGUUGUCCUUGGAGACCCACCACCCUGCAAGCAUAUAGUCAGUGGUCACUCAAGCCUCUGCAACCCUGCUGCCUUUAGGCUGUGGCAUAUAAUAGGCCCUGGACUGCACAGAGAGACAAAACGACACACUUAAUAUAAAAUUCAUAGCGCAAAACCCAUCCAUCCCAAACAUAUCUGAUUUCAUCACAUUACAUACCUGCACAGAGAGACAAAACGACACAGCAGUGUUUGUAGUGUGGGCUAUAAGUAGACCAGUGUAUCAGUGCAAUCAAGUACACUUGCCUCUAAUUAGUCCAACCCCAUUCCAGCCAUUGGCUCACCAAAAAUGUGACACACACAAAACCACUCCCAACCCAGUGCAACUUCACACAAUAAUAUGGAGCUGAAUUAACACAGGCACAUUAGUCUACCAUGUUACAAGCUGCAUGCUAUUAAAAGCCAACAUAUGCAGACUUCUGCCUUGUUCGGGUGGCAGCAUUUUUUCUUUUUUCUUUUGUGUCCUGACACGUUUAUGUUUUUGUUUUUGUUUGAUUAUUUUGUUGGUUUUGGAAACAAAUUUAAACGAACUUGUGACAAUACUUGAGAAUCACAGUGACACAGUGAUUAGGCAUAUGAUUGGAAAAUGCCUAGGUUUAGAGCUGUGAGCUAUGAGCUGUGAGCAAUGCAAAGUUAAAUAUAUAUAUGUAUAAAUGGGAAACAACCCUAACUUGAAAGUUUGAAAUGUGUGAGAUCCAUGACUUGUUUGAAAAACUAGAAAUUAUCUAAAAAUGCCUUAAGUGAAAAUGUAGUGUUGCAUCUAUUCUCCCAAACCAAGACAAAAAAAGAAGCAGCAUUCUGUAACUUAAAAAUAAGGCUGACGUGUUGACAAUAGACUAAAACACUAAUUCGCAGGUGGCUAUCAGGAACAGAGAGGCGAGCAAAGUCACAAACACCAAGGCUGCAGACAGCCACGCAGAAACAGCAGAUAACAUAGAGACAACGCCUGCUAGAACCGUGGAGAGGAAGGUCACUUCACACGAGAUUGUAGGAGUAGGCCACAGAGAAAUAAUGCAAAACAGUUUUGAGGCAGCCACUUAAGAACUUACAGUUUUCAAAGGACAAAUUAGUUGUAAAGUCAGCUGCAGGCCACACAACUGUACAACAAUUAACUGCCCCUUUAGAACUAGUACAUACAGCAAGUGGCCGCAGGUGCUUUAUUAAAUGCAUAUGACCCGUUGUGUCCAGUAAAUUUGCUAGGUAGAGACGCUCUGACAAAACUUAAGAUAGCAGUCAUGGCAUUCUUUUCUGGUAUUACACCUGAGUGCAUGCUAAAUGACACCCGCCACAUCCACUUUCCAGAAACCGACCGAGUAUCACAACAUUCUGAGAUUUAAACAAACUCCAGGCCCAGAUCCACCUUAUGAUCAGCAAGUGUGGAAGCUAGGAGAACAGCACUUGACCUUACAGCACAGGCCGAAAUUGUGUAGGUUACGCAGUGACCACAGAUAGUAGAAUAAUAGAAGCAAAACCACUUUCUUGUUCAUAUUCUGCACAGAGCGCUGAGCUGUUAGCUGUGAUUUGCGCAUGUGAAAUACACAAAGAUAAACAAAUAACCAUUUAUAUAGACAGCCAGUAUGUUUUCUCUGCUGUGCAUCAUUUUGCAAAAAAUUUGGAAAACCAGAGGAAUGAUUACACCAACCGGAAAACCAGUUCAGCAUGCCAACCUCUUACAACGCCUCUUUCAUUGCUACAGGCAAUAACUUUGCUGACAGAGCAGCAAAACAGGCGGCACAAAAGACAAACUUCACAUUGAUGGCAGUAAACACACAUCAGAUUCCACUGGAUGUGUUGAAAAAUGAACAAAAAGCAGCAAGCACAGCAGAGCAGGCAAAAUGGCUAAAACACGGAGCAGUUCUGACAAACGACUUAAUGAUGUGUUAUGGCAAGCCAGUGUUGCCAAAAUUCCUCCACAAAAUGGCGGCAUUAGUGACUCAUGGCUGUACGCAUUUGUCAACGGGGGGACUGACCAGUAUUGUCAACUCUCAUUUCUACACUGUAAAUUCUACACUGUAAAUUUUGAAACAUCAGCAAAACAAUUUGUCAGAACGUGCAUGACGUGUCAAAACAAUCCACAUGGACUUUAUUGAGCUAAAUGAAUGCCAAGGGUAAAAAUACGCCCUAGUGGUUAUAGAUGUAUUCUCAAAGUGGCCAGAAAUCUACCCAGUGAAAAAGGCAGAUACAAUUUCAGUAGCAAAAUGUAUGUCUAAGUUGUAGGAAAAUAAAGAGAUGAUUGUAAAUAACGAAGAAUGUAAUGAUGUCUAUCAAGUGUCUUGCAGAUUACAGCCCGGUGACUGGGUUCUGAUCAAGGUGCUCCAAAGGAAAAACUGGAGCGCACCCAGGUGGGAGGGACCACAUCAGGUUCUCCUCGCCACGCCCACCGCUUGCAAAAUAGCGGAACGACCAUCUUGGAUCCAUCAGAGCCAUUGCAGACGAGUAAGUGAAGCCAUCUAAACUCAGCCGACACAGGCUCGCCCAAUUGUCGUGAUCUCGCCCGGUGGAGGGAACAGCCUUUCUGGCCGGGGGGUCUACUCACGACAGGAGGGUGUGUCCUGUUGUCAUGAGGUGGUGGCUCCUAAUAACUGCAGCGGCCCUGACCCUGGCCGGGCUCCUCAUCUUUGCUUCCGUGAGGGACAACAAGUCACGCUAUAUGAAGAAAAGGCAGACACUGUAUGACAAAGGAAAGUACACCAAGUUUCCCCAUGGCUACGCCACUAACUUCUGGUGGCAGUUUAUGAACACUACAGCUCACUUGAAUAAUAAAACUGACUGCUAUGCAUGUACCCAUAUGCCCCUAUCCUCACAGACGUCUGGCCUGUGGCCGUACAGCAUACCUGAAGAUCGCAGUUGGUGCCUGUUGGGCCUGGCAACACAUCCAGGCUACGGUACUCUUUGGUCCAAGGCCAACUACAGCAUCCCAGCAAAAGCAACCUGGAGGUCAUCAUCACCCACAAAUGUGAACUGUUCCGGACAGACCUACCUACUGACCUGGCCCCAAGUCUCAGACCCACUGCCUGAUGUAAUUCUACU